GACGUAGGAUGCAAGCGUUGUCCGGAAUUAUUGGGCGUAAAGAGCUCGUAGGCGGCUUGUUGCGUCGACUGUGAAAACCCGCGGCUUAACCGCGGGCUUGCAGUUGAUACGGGCAGGCUAGAGUUCGGUAGGGGAGACUGGAAUUCCUGGUGUAGCGGUGAAAUGCGCAGAUAUCAGGAGGAACACCGGUGGCGAAGGCGGGUCUCUGGGCCGAUACUGACGCUGAGGAGCGAAAGCGUGGGGAGCGAACAGG
rnacentral:rRNA from 1 species